rnacentral:tRNA from 5 species
GCCGAAGUGGCGAAAUCGGUAGACGCAGCGGAUUCAAAAUCCGCCGCCGCAAGGCGUGCCGGUUCGAGUCCGGCCUUCGGCACCA